UGGGGAAUAUUGCACAAUGGGCGAAAGCCUGAUGCAGCGACGCCGCGUGAGGGAUGACGGCCUUCGGGUUGUAAACCUCUUUCAGCAGGGACGAAGCGCAAGUGACGGUACCUGCAGAAGAAGCACCGGCUAACUACGUGCCAGCAGCCACGGUAAUACGUAGGGUGCAAGCGUUGUCCGGAAUUACUGGGCGUAAAGAGUUCGUAGGCGGUUUGUCGCGUCGUUUGUGAAAACCAGCAGCUCAACUGCUGGCUUGCAGGCGAUACGGGCAGACUUGAGUACUGCAGGGGAGACUGGAAUUCCUGGUGUAGCGGAGAAAUGCGCAGAUAUCAGGAGGAACACCGGUGGCGAAGGCGGGUCUCUGGGCAGUAACUGACGCUGAGGAACGAAAGCGUGGGUAGCGAACAGG
rnacentral:rRNA from 1 species